rnacentral:rRNA from 1 species
GAUGAACGCUGGCGGCGUGCCUAAUACAUGCAAGUCGAGCGAACAGACGAGGAGCUUUCUCCUCUGACGUUAGCGGCGGACGGGUGAGUAACACGUGGAUAACCUACCUAUAAGACUGGGAUAACUUCGGGAAACCGGAGCUAAUACCGGAUAAUAUAUCGAACCGCAUGGUUCAAUAGUGAAAGACGGUUUUGCUGUCACUUAUAGAUGGAUCCGCGCCGCAUUAGCUAGUUGGUAAGGUAACGGCUUACCAAGGCAACGAUGCGUAGCCGACCUGAGAGGGUGAUCGGCCACACUGGAACUGAGACACGGUCCAGACUCCUACGGGAGGCAGCAGUAGGGAAUCUUCCGCAAUGGGCGAAAGCCUGACGGAGCAACGCCGCGUGAGUGAUGAAGGUCUUCGGAUCGUAAAACUCUGUUAUUAGGGAAGAAAAAAUGUGUAAGUAACUAUGCACGUCUUGACGGUACCUAAUCAGAAAGCCACGGCUAACUACGUG